rnacentral:rRNA from 1 species
GACGAACGCUGGCGGCGUGCUUAACACAUGCAAGUCGAACGGAAAGGCCCUGCUUUUGUGGGGUGCUCGAGUGGCGAACGGGUGAGUAACACGUGAGUAACCUGCCCUUGACUUUGGGAUAACUUCAGGAAACUGGGGCUAAUACCGGAUAGGAGCUCCUGCUGCAUGGUGGGGGUUGGAAAGUUUCGGCGGUUGGGGAUGGACUCGCGGCUUAUCAGCUUGUUGGUGGGGUAGUGGCUACCAAGGCUUUGACGGGUAGCCGGCCUGAGAGGGUGACCGGCCACAUUGGGACUGAGAUACGGCCCAGACUCCUACGGGAGGCAGCAGUGGGGAAUAUUGCACAAUGGGCGGAAGCCUGAUGCAGCAACGCCGCGUGCGGGAUGACGGCCU